GUGAUAGUUUGACAAGGCUUUGGUGGAGGUUGUGUUAGUGUGUCCAUGGGUAGUGUUAUGAGCCUGGUGAUAGUUUGACAAGGCUUUGGUGGAGGUUGUGUUAGUGUGUCCAUGGGUAGUGUUAUGAGCCUGGUGAUAGUUUGACAAGGCUUUGGUGGAGGUUGUGUUAGUAUGUCCAUGGGUAGUGUUAUGAGCCUGGUGAUAGUUUGACAAGGCUUUGGUGGAGGUUGUGUUAGUAUGUCCAUGGGUAGUGUUAUGAGCCUGGUGAUAGUUUGACAAGGCUUUGGUGGAGGUUGUGUUAGUAUGUCCAUGGGUAGUGUUAUGAGCCUGGUGAUAGUUUGACAAGGCUUUGGUGGAGGUUGUGUUAGUAUGUCCAUGGGUAGUGUUAUGAGCCUGGUGAUAGUUUGACAAGGCUUUGGUGGAGGUUGUGUUAGUAUGUCCAUGGGUAGUGUUAUGAGCCUGGUGAUAGUUUGACAAGGCUUUGGUGGAGGUUGUGUUAGUAUGUCCAUGGGUAGUGUUAUGAGCCUGGUGAUAGUUUGACAAGGCUUUGGUGGAGGUUGUGUUAGUGUGUCCAUGGGUAGUGUUAUGAGCCUGGUGAUAGUUUGACAAGGCUUUGGUGGAGGUUGUGUUAGUAUGUCCAUGGGUAGUGUUAUGAGCCUGGUGAUAUUUUGACCCUUCUUCUGUACCAUGAACGUGAA